GCGGCCUCCUAGUCCUCCCCAGGCCCCCUGGCUGCAAAUCACGGCCCAGGCGUCGGCCUCCUCCUGACUGAAGGAGGGAGGAGAACAGCAGGGUCCCUCGCGGGGCCUGGCGGGUGUCAGCUGAGGGAGAGACGGAAGAGAAGAGUCUUGGUCCUUUCCGCCCCCGGCUAUAGUCAGCCUCAGCUGAGGGACUUCUGGAAAGGGAAAGCAGACACCAGACACAGAGCAGCUCCUCCACCUCUUUAGAUCUCUUUCAGAAGAAUCUAGUUAGUGCUACUUCAAAGAGGCUCAGUCAUCCUUGAUGAUGGCAGCAUCUAGCGGUGGCUUGUGUGUAAAGCAACAUUGACAGCAGGCUGUUGCAGAAGCUUGGUCUGAUCACCUGUAGACUGGAUGACUAGAUGUCAUAACUGCAAAGGAGGACAGGCAAUAUAACAAACUUUGUAAAAUGCUGGAUGUUCAAGAAAAAAUGAAGGACAAUUCAAAAUAAAUGUUAAAAACAUUAAUGCAAAUAUAAAUCCAUCUUUCUUAGUCAUGCUUUAAAUGGAGGACAUUUUGGAAUUCCUCCUGGACAGAAGGUUGAAAAGUAGGGCAUGUCCUGGAAAAGGAGGAUGUCUCGUCACCUUGCUUGCAGAGGACUUUUGAAAUUAGGCUGAGAGGCAUAUAGGAUCAGACUGAGGGCU